rnacentral:rRNA from 1 species
UACGAGGGGGGCGAGCGUUGUUCGGAAUUAUUGGGCGUAAAGGGUGCGUAGGCGGCCUGACAAGUCUGAUGUGAAAUCCCUGGGCUCAACCCAGGGCCUGCAUCGGAAACUGUCGGGCUUGAGUAUGGGAGAGGUGAGUGGAAUUUCCGGUGUAGCGGUGGAAUGCGCAGAUAUCGGGAGGAACACCCGUGGCGAAGGCGGCACUCUGGGACGGUACUGACGCUGAGACGCGAAAGCGUGGGGAGCAAACAGG